GACGAACGCUGGCGGCGUGCCUAAUACAUGCAAGUAGAACGCUGAAGGAGGAGCUUGCUUCUCCGGAUGAGUUGCGAACGGGUGAGUAACGCGUAGGUAACCUGCCUGGUAGCGGGGGAUAACUAUUGGAAACGAUAGCUAAUACCGCAUAAGAGUAGAUGUCGCAUGACAUUUGCUUAAAAGGUGCAACUGCACCACUACCAGAUGGACCUGCGUUGUAUUAGCUAGUUGGUGAGGUAACGGCUCACCAAGGCAACGAUACAUAGCCGACCUGAGAGGGGGGUCGGCCACAACGGGACCGGGAACAGGGCCAGACUUCUACGGGAGGCAGCAGGAGGGGAACUUCGGCAAUGGACGGAAGGCUGAACGGGCAACGCCGCGGGGGGGAAGGAAGGUUUCGGGUCGGAAAGCUCCGUUGUAAGGGGAGAACGAGUGGGGUAGUGGAAAGUUCACACUGUGACGGUAUCUAACCAGAAAGGGACGGCUAACUACGUG
rnacentral:rRNA from 1 species